GAACCGUACGAACGUUAUUCGGAAUCACUGGGCUUAAAGGGUGCGUAGGCGGCCUGGCAAGUUGGGUGUGAAAUCCCUCGGCUCAACCGAGGAAUUGCGCUCAAAACUGCCAGGCUUGAGGAAGACAGAGGUGAGCGGAACUCAGGGUGGAGCGGUGAAAUGCGUUGAUAUCCUGGGGAACACCAGUAGCGAAGGCGGCUCACUGGGUCUUUUCUGACGCUCAGGCACGAAAGCUAGGGGAGCGAACGGGGGAUUAGAUACCCCGGUAGUCCUAGCUGUAAACGAUGAGCACUGGGUUGGAGGGUCCCUCCAUAGCCUUCCCAGCCGUAGCGAAAGUGUUAAGUGCUCCGCCUGGGGAGUAUGGUCGCAAGGCUG
rnacentral:rRNA from 1 species